rnacentral:rRNA from 1 species
GGUCAAUGGACGAAAGUCUGACCCAGCCAAGCCGCGUGCAGGAUGAAGGCCCUAUGGGUGGAAAACUGUUUUUAUAGGGAAAAAAAGUGAGGUACGUCGUUCCAUUAUAUUAGUACAGUACCCUAUCGAACUAAGGACCGGCUAAUUCCGUG